AGGUGGCACAACGGCUCAGUGCGUCCGGCUGUUAAGCAGAAGGCUGGUGGUUCAAGCCCACUCAGGGAUA